rnacentral:rRNA from 1 species
GGGCCCGCACAAGCGGUGGAGCAUGUGGUUUAAUUCGACGCAACGCGAAGAACCUUACCAGCCCUUGACAUGGGCGUCGCGGAUCGCAGAGAUGCUUUCCUUCAGUUCGGCUGGACGCCACACAGGUGCUGCAUGGCUGUCGUCAGCUCGUGUCGUGAGAUGUUGGGUUAAGUCCCGCAACGAGCGCAACCCUCAUCCUUAGUUGCCAUCAGUUCGGCUGGGCACUCUAGGGAAACUGCCGGUGACAAGCCGGAGGAAGGUGGGGAUGACGUCAAGUCCUCAUGGCCCUUACGGGCUGGGCUACACACGUGCUACAAUGGCGAUGACAGAGGGAUGCAAGGGGCGACCCUGAGCUAAUCUCCAAAAUCGUCUCAGUUCGGAUUGUUCUCUGCAACUCGAGAGCAUGAAGGCGGAAUC